UGUGUGUGUGUGUGUGUGUGUGUGGGUGUGUGUGUGUGUGUGUGUGUGUGUGUGUGAUCCAUGUUUGUGCACGAACCAGAUGUGUGCAAUCCUGCAUGUUUUGGCAAUGAUCUGACACCAAGUAAAUACAUCGGCCCCUGGUACCGAUACUGAUACCGAUACUUUGUGUUUAAGUUUGACUUAUCAUCAAAGUUCUGACCUCCAGGUAUGUUUUCUCUGAAUUACUUUGUUCCAACUUACAAUGUUUAGAUAAAGUUUUUGGGCAUUUACAAAGGAAAACUUUAAUAGUAUAUUAACAUGAUUUGUGUGCAAUAUUUCUAAACAAAGUGCAAAAUAUUAUUGUUUCAGAGCAAAUCAAAAUGGUUUGAGAGAGAGUUGAGAAAUUAAAAUACAAAAAUGAAAAAAAUUCCAGAUGGAAUCUGAAACUAUAUCAGUCUUAUCAAGCUAGUAUCGAUCUGAUACUGAUAUCGACUUGGUACCGAUAUUAUUGAUAUUUUGGAAGGAUCCGCCCACCUCUGGCAUGUCCUGUUUGAAGCUUUAAAAUGUGAGAACUGGUUUAAUUUAGUCUUUGAUUAAUUAAUUUCAUGUCUCUUUGUUUUUUUUAUGUGUUUUUUUUUCAUUUUCACAACUUCAGCCUACCACAAUGUACGAUUGUAAACACAAAGCCCAACAGUACCUGCAAACGUGUUGCAAUGGGAUUUAAAAAACUAAAACUAUCUGAUUCAUUUCAGUCUGAUAAAAAUAAAAAAGUCACCCUAAAGGUUUAAGAAACCACUUUGACUAUACCAGUGAAAUCUACUUGAUAGAUCCUAACAGCAAACGGAGAAGCGGUGGAGAGGACAGAGUGGGUUUAAUCCCUUCCCCCCAUGAAGCUGGGCUCAAACGGACUCAAUCAGGGUGAUGCAACUGAAUAUUUCGGUUUUUCAGACCAAACUGUGCGAUCGGCACCGAGGGGCUGAAAACGUCCAGAACCGGGCGGCACGAGGAGAGGAGGGAGGGAUGGAGGAAAUGCAGACGUUCUCCUUCAGACUGGUUGAGUUUUCCAAAGAACUCACAAUGCCAUUCCUCAGUCCGACAUACAGCAGAUUGAAACCAGUCCAGGCUCUUCAGUGGUGCAUCUAUCCAACUCAUUCCAUGGUUUUCCAUGAACAUCCGGUUCCUCUGUUAAAACUGUCUUUGAUUUUCACAUGUUUUUCUUUCAUAAAUAUGUGUGUCAUAUUCUGUAAAGGUCGGUAAAGCUACUCAUACCUGAUACAGUUGUUCAACUAAGAACUGUGAUGAUCCAAAGCACAAUAAAUUUCUUAUGCGAGAUA